rnacentral:misc_RNA from 1 species
GAUGAAGAACGUAGCGAACUGCGAUAAGUAAUGUGAAUUGCAGAAUUCAGUGAAUCAUCGAGUCUUUGAACGCACAUUGCGCCCCCUGGCAUUCCGGGGGGCAUGCCUGUCCGAGCGUCAUUGCUGCCCUUCAAGCCCGGCUUGUGUGUUGGGUCGUCCUCCCCCCCGGGGGACGGGCCCGAAAGGCAGCGGCGGCACCGCGUCCGGUCCUCGAGCGUAUGGGGCUUUGUCACCCGCUCGAUUAGGGCCGGCCGGGCGCCAGCCGGCGUCUCCAACCUUCUAUUUUACCAGGUUGACCUCGGAUCAGGUAGGGAUACCCGCUGAACUUAAGCAUAUCAAUAAGCGGAGGA